rnacentral:rRNA from 1 species
UACGAAGGGGGCUAGCGUUGCUCGGAAUCACUGGGCGUAAAGGGUGCGUAGGCGGGUCUUUAAGUCAGGGGUGAAAUCCCCAGGCUCAACUUGGGAACUGCAUCCGAUACUGGAUGGCUUGAAUCCGGGAGAGGGAUGCAGAAUUCCAGGUGUAGCGGUGAAAUGCGUAGAUAUCGGGAGGAACAUCAGUGGCGAAGGCGACUGCCUGGCCCAACACUGACGCUGAGGUGCGAAAGCGUGGGUAGCAAACAGG